UGGACUCUCUCGACUCUCUCUGGUCUCUCAACUGCACAAAACACAGAAAAAGAAAAACUGUCACUCUCAGACCUCUUCCCUCCCAAAAAGAAAUUUUCCAACAAAACACACACCAAUACAAAAUCACUCCCCUCUCUCUCGGCUCAUUGGCAAACUGCCACUACAAAAAGAAGAAAAUAAGAAAAAACACCCAAACUCUUCUCUCCCUCUUGGCUCCCUCUCGGCUCUCCUAACACACUCACACACAACAUCAAAAAAAAGAGGGAGGGGCAGCUACCGGUUGGACAAUUAAAGCUUGGAAUUUCCUCAAAACUUUAGUCAAGGG
rnacentral:lncRNA from 1 species